AAUAGAUACCCGGGUAGUCCACGCCGUAAACGAUGAGUACUAGGGGUAGGGGGUAUCGACCCCCUCUGUCCCGAAGCCAACGCGAUAAGUACUCCGCCUGGGGACUACGGCCGCAAGGCUAAAACUCAAAGGAAUUGACGAGGGCCCGCACAAGCAGCGGAGCGUGUGGUUUAAUUCGAUGAUACGCGAAGAACCUCACCCAGGUUUGACAUGCAUGUGGUACCGAUCCGAAAGGUGAAGGACCCUUCGGGGAGCAUGCACAGGUGUUGCACGGCCGUCGUCAGCUCGUGCCGUGAGGUGUUGGGUUAAGUCCCGCAACGAGCGCAACCCCUGUCGCCAGUUGUAUUUUUCUGGCGAGACUGCCGAGAAAACCUCGGAGGAAGGAGGGGACGAUGUCAGGUCAGCGUGGCCCUUACGCCUGGGGCUACACACACGCUACAAUGGGUGGUACAACGGGUUGCCAAGCCGCGAGGUGGAGCUAAUCCCGAUCAAAGCCAUCCCCAGUUCGGAUUGUAGGCUGAAACCCGCCUGCAUGAAGCCGGAGUUGCUAGUAACCGCG
rnacentral:rRNA from 1 species